rnacentral:rRNA from 1 species
UACGUAGGGUGCAAGCGUUGUCCGGAAUUAUUGGGCGUAAAGGGCUCGUAGGCGGUCCAUCGCGUCGGGAGUGAAAAGCUGGGGCUUAACCCCAGUCCUGCUUCCGAUACGGGUGGACUAGAGGUAGGCAGGGGAGAACGGAAUUCCUGGUGUAGCGGUGAAAUGCGCAGAUAUCAGGAGGAACACCGGUGGCGAAGGCGAGGUGCUGGACCCCUCCUGACGGCUGAGGCGCGAAAGCCAGGGGAGCAAACGGG